rnacentral:rRNA from 1 species
GACGAACGCUGGCGGCGUGCUUAACACAUGCAAGUCGAACGGUAAGGCCCUUCGGGGUACACGAGUGGCGAACGGGUGGAGUAACACGUGGGUGAUCUGCCCUGCACUUCGGGAUAAGCCUGGGAAACUGGGUCUAAUACCGGAUAGGACCAUGGACUUCACGGUUUGUGGUGGAAAGCUUUUGCGGAGUGGGAUGGGCCCGCGGCCUAUCAGCUUGUUGGUGGGGUAAUGGCCUACCAAGGCGACGACGGGUAGCCGGCCUGAGAGGGUGUCCGGCCACACUGGGACUGAGAUACGGCCCAGACUCCUACGGGAGGCAGCAGUGGGGAAUAUUGCACAAUGGGCGCAAGCCUGAUGCAGCGACGCCGCGUGAGGGAUGACGGCCUCGGUU